rnacentral:rRNA from 1 species
GACGAACGCUGGCGGCGUGCUUAACACAUGCAAGUCGAACGAUGAAGAAGAGAAACGCGAACUUCGGUUCAACUUUCACUUCGGAUUAGUGGCAGACGGGUGAGUAACGCGUGAGCAACCUACCUCUUACAAAGGGAUAGCCUCGGGAAACCGUGAUUAAUACCAUAUGACACAUUCAUAAGGCAUCUUAAGAAUGUUAAAGCUACGGCGGUAAGAGAUGGGCUCGCGUCCCAUUAGCUAGUUGGUGAGGUAACGGCCCACCAAGGCGACGAUGGGUAACCGGCCUGAGAGCGUGAACGGUCACAUUGGAACUGAGACACGGUCCAAACUCCUACGGGAGGCAGCAGUGGGGAAUAUUGCACAAUGGAGGGAACUCUGAUGCAGCGACGCCGCGUGAGCGAUGAAGGAAUUCGUUUCGUAAAGCUCUGUUCUAUGGGAAGAAAAGGACUGUACCAUAGGAGAAAGCCCCGGCUAAAUACGUG